GCCCGGGUGGUGGAACUGGUAGACACACCAUCUUGAGGGGGUGGCGGCGCAAGCCGUGCGGGUUCAAAUCCCGCCCCGGGCA
rnacentral:tRNA from 1 species